UAAUACGUAGGUGGCAAGCGUUGUCCGGAAUUAUUGGGCGUAAAGCGCGCGCAGGCGGUCCUUUAAGUCUGAUGUGAAAGCCCACGGCUCAACCGUGGAGGGUCAUUGGAAACUGGGGGACUUGAGUACAGAAGAGGAAAGCGGAAUUCCACGUGUAGCGGUGAAAUGCGUAGAGAUGUGGAGGAACACCAGUGGCGAAGGCGGCUUUCUGGUCUGUAACUGACGCUGAGGCGCGAAAGCGUGGGGAGCAAACAGGAUUAGAUACCCUGGUAGUCCACGCCGUAAACGAUGAGUGCUAAGUGUUAGGGGGUUUCCGCCCCUUAGUGCUGCAGCUAACGCAUUAAGCACUCCGCCUGGGGAGUACGGCCGCAAGGCUG
rnacentral:rRNA from 1 species